rnacentral:sRNA from 1 species
GAGCGGGCGAGCGGCGCGGGCGGCCGGAGCGCCGAGGCCCGGCCAUGGCCACCACCAGCACCACGGGCUCCACCCUGCUGCAGCCCCUCAGCAACGCCGUGCAGCUGCCCAUCGACCAGGUCAACUUUGUAGUGUGCCAACUCUUUGCCUUGCUAGCAGCCAUUUGGUUUCGAACUUAUCUACAUUCAAGCAAAACUAGCUCUUUUAUAAGACAUGUAGUUGCUACCCUUUUGGGCCUUUAUCUUGCACUUUUUUGCUUUGGAUGGUAUGCCUUACACUUUCUUGUACAAAGUGGAAUUUCCUACUGUAUCAUGAUCAUCAUAGGAGUGGAGAACAUGCACAAUUACUGCUUUGUGUUUGCUCUGGGAUACCUCACAGUGUGCCAAGUUACUCGAGUCUAUAUCUUUGACUAUGGACAAUAUUCUGCUGAUUUUUCAGGCCCAAUGAUGAUCAUUACUCAGAAGAUCACUAGUUUGGCUUGCGAAAUUCAUGAUGGGAUGUUUCGGAAGGAUGAAGAACUGACUUCCUCACAGAGGGAUUUAGCUGUAAGGCGCAUGCCAAGCCUACUGGAGUAUUUGAGUUACAACUGUAACUUCAUGGGGAUCCUGGCAGGCCCACUUUGCUCUUACAAAGACUACAUUACUUUCAUUGAAGGCAGAUCAUACCAUAUCACACAAUCUGGUGAAAAUGGAAAAGAAGAGACACAGUAUGAAAGAACAGAGCCAUCUCCAAAUACUGCGGUGAUUCAGAAGCUCUUAGUUUGUGGGCUGUCCUUGUUAUUUCACUUGACCGUCUGUGCGACAUUGCCUGUGGAGUACAACAUUGAUGAGCAUUUUCAAGCUACAGCCUCGUGGCCAACAAAGAUUAUCUAUCUCUAUAUCUCUCUUUUGGCUGCCAGACCCAAAUACUAUUUUGCAUGGACGCUAGCUGAUGCCAUUAAUAAUGCCGCAGGCUUUGGUUUCAGAGGGUAUGACAAAAAUGGAGCAGCUCGCUGGGACUUAAUUUCCAAUUUGAGAAUUCAACAAAUAGAGAUGUCAACAAGUUUCAAGAUGUUUCUUGAUAAUUGGAAUAUUCAGACAGCUCUUUGGCUGAAAAGGGUGUGUUAUGAACGAACCUCCUUCAUUCCAACUAUCCAGACGUUCAUUCUCUCUGCCAUUUGGCACGGGGUAUACCCAGGAUAUUAUCUAACGUUUCUAACAGGGGUGUUAAUGACAUUAGCAGCACGAGCUAAUUUUCUGAAGGAGAGAUAAAAACUGAGUUAAAUAAAGAUGAUCAGAAUGGAUGAGAAAUAACUUUAGACAUUAUUUCAUUGAACCUUCCCAACUGAAAUUAUUUUAUGAUGUUAUAACAU